ACCGUGUUGGACGCUCCUCUAGUGUACCUGUUGCGUCGCCAGGCGCACCGCAGGGUAGCUAUGAGCGGAAGGGAUAAGCGCUGAAGGCAUCUAAGCGCGAAGCCUGUCCCGAGAUGAGAUCUCCCUUGAGGGCCGUCGCAGACUACGACGUCGAUAGGCCGCAGGUGUAGAGUCAGCAAUGGCACAGCCGAGCGGUACUAAUAGCCCGAGAGUCUUCCUUCC
rnacentral:rRNA from 1 species